rnacentral:rRNA from 1 species
CAGGCCUAACACAUGCAAGUCGAGCGGUAGAGAGAAGCUUGCUUCUCUUGAGAGCGGCGGACGGGUGAGUAAUGCCUAGGAAUCUGCCUGGUAGUGGGGGAUAACGUUCGGAAACGGACGCUAAUACCGCAUACGUCCUACGGGAGAAAGCANGGGACCUUCGGGCCUUGCGCUAUCAGAUGAGCCUAGGUCGGAUUAGCUAGUUGGUGAGGUAAUGGCUCACCAAGGCGACGAUCCGUAACUGGUCUGAGAGAAUGAUCAGUCACACUGGAACUGAGACACGGUCCAGACUCCUACGGGAGGCAGCAGUGGGGAAUAUUGGACAAUGGGCGAAAGCCUGAUCCAGCCAUGCCGCGUGUGUGAAGAAGGUCUUCGGAUUGUAAAGCACUUUAAGUUGGGAGGAAGGGCAGUUACCUAAUACGUGAUUGUUUUGACGUUACCGACAGAAUAAGCACCGGCUAACUCUGUGCCAGCAGCCGCGGUAAUACAGAGGGUGCAAGCGUUAAUCGGAAUUACUGGGCGUAAAGCGCGCGUUAGUGGUUAGUUUAGUUGGAUGUGAAAUUCCCGGGCCUCCACCUUGGGGAACUGCAU